UCUCCGUUGGUGAACCAGCGGAGGGAUCAUUACCGAGUUUACAACUCCCAAACCCAAUGUGAACGCUACCAAACCGUUGCCUCGGCGGGAUAUCUGCCCCGGGCGCGUCGCAGCCCCGGACCAAGGCGCCCGCCGGAGGACCGACCCAAAACUCCUAUUGUAUACCCGCUCGCGGGGUUUUCCUCUAUAAUUCUGAGCCCUCGGCGCCCCUCGCGGGCGCCCCGAAAACGAAUCAAAACUUUCAACAACGGAUCUCUUGGUUCUG
rnacentral:misc_RNA from 1 species